UACAGAGGUCCCAAGCGUUGUUCGGAUUCACUGGGCGUAAAGGGUGCGUAGGUGGCCAGGUAAGUCGGAUGUGAAAGCUCGGAGCUCAACUCCGAAAUGGCAUUGGAUACUACCUUGCUCGAGGGUUGGAGGGGGGACUGGAAUGCUUGGUGUAGCAGUGAAAUGCGUAGAUAUCAAGCGGAACACCAGUGGCGAAGGCGAGUCCCUGGACAACUCCUGACACUGAGGCACGAAAGCUAGGGGAGCAAACAGG
rnacentral:rRNA from 1 species